rnacentral:snoRNA from 12 species
UUGCCCGAUGAUUAUAAAAAGACGCGCAAAGAGGACAUAACGCUGGAGUUCUUUACCUUCUUUUCUCAUUUCUUCCUUUUUUCUACACUUCUGUUUCUUUCUUUGAAGUCCAGUGUCCUAUGAGCGAAGAUUAUGAGAUAUGAGGGCAA